CCUACGGGAGGCUGCAGUGAGGAAUAUUGGUCAAUGGACGAGAGUCUGAACCAGCCAAGUAGCGUGAAGGAUGACUGCCCUAUGGGUUGUAAACUUCUUUUAUAUGGGAAUAAAAUGUUCCACGUGUGGGAUUUUGUAUGUACCAUAUGAAUAAGGAUCGGCUAACUCCGUGCCAGCAGCCGCGGUAAUACGGAGGAUCCGAGCGUUAUCCGGCUUUAUUGGGUUGCAAGGGAGCGUAGGUGGAUUGUUAAGGCAGUUGUGAAAGUUUGCGGCUCAACCGUAGAAUUGCAGUUGAAACUGGCAGUGGUGAGUACAGUAGAGGUGGGCGGAAUGCGUGGUGUAGCGGUGAAAUGCUUAGAUAUCACGAAGAACUCCGAUUGCGAAGGCAGCUCACUGGACUGCAACUGACACUGAGGCUCGAAAGUGUGGGUAUCAAACAGGAGUAGAUACCCCGGUAGUC
rnacentral:rRNA from 1 species